rnacentral:rRNA from 1 species
CGGCCUUCUGGACAGUACUGACGCUGAGAUGCGAAGCGUGGGGAGCAAACAGGAUAGAUACCUGGUAGUCACGCUGUAAACGAUGUCGAUUUGGAGUUGUGCCUAGAGUGAUGGGCUCCGAAGCUAACGCGAUAAAUCGACCGCUGGGGAGUACGGCCGCAAGGUUAAAACUCAAAUGAAUUGGCGGGGGCCCGCACAAGCGGUGGAGCAUGUGGUUUAAUUCGAUGCAACGCGAAGAACCUUACCUGGUCUUGACAUCCAUAGAAUUCUGCAGAGAUGUGGGAGUGCCUUCGGGAACUAUGAGACAGGUGCUGCAUGGCUGUCGUCAGCUCGUGUUGUGAAAUGUUGGGUUAAGUCCCGCAACGAGCGCAACCCUUAUUCUUUGUUGCCAGCGAUUUGGUCGGGAACUCAAAGGAGACUGCCGUUGAUAAAGCGGAGGAAGGUGGGGACGACGUCAAGUCAUCAUGGCCCUUACGACCAGGGCUACACACGUGCUACAAUGGCGUAUACAAAGGGAAGCGAAGGUGCGAGCUGGAGCGGAUCUCAUAAAGUACGUCUAAGUUCGGAUUGGAGUCUGCAACUCGACUCCAUGAAGUCGGAAUCGCUAGUAAUCGUAGAUCAGAAUGCUACGGUGAAUACGUUCCCGGGCCUUGUACACACCGCCCGUCACACCAUGGGAGUGGGUUGCACCAGAAGUAGAUAGCUUAACCGCGAGGGGGGCGUUUACCACGGUGUGAUUCAUGACUGGGGUGAAGUCGUAACAAGGUAACCA